AUUGAACGCUGGCGGCAGGCCUAACACAUGCAAGUCGAGCGGCAGCGGAAAGUAGCUUGCUACUUUGCCGGCGAGCGGCGGACGGGUGAGUAAUGUCUGGGAAACUGCCUGAUGGAGGGGGAUAACUACUGGAAACGGUAGCUAAUACCGCAUAACGUCGCAAGACCAAAGAGGGGGACCUUCGGGCCUCUUGCCAUCAGAUGUGCCCAGAUGGGAUUAGCUAGUAGGUGGGGUAACGGCUCACCUAGGCGACGAUCCCUAGCUGGUCUGAAAGGAUGACCAGCAAAACUGGAACUGAGAUACGGUCCAGACUCCUACGGGAGGCAGCAGUGGGGAAUAUUGCACAAUGGGCGCAAGCCUGAUGCAGCCAUGCCGCGUGUAUGAAGAAGGCCUUCGGGUUGUAAAGUACUUUCAGCGAGGAGGAAGGCGUUGUGGUUAAUAACCGCAGCGAUUGACGUUACUCGCAGAAGAAGCACCGGCUAACUCCGUGCCAGCAGCCGCGGUAA
rnacentral:rRNA from 1 species